rnacentral:rRNA from 1 species
GACGAACGCUGGCGGCGUGCUUAACACAUGCAAGUCGAACGGAAAGGCCUUGCUUUUGUGGGGUGCUCGAGUGGCGAACGGGUGAGUAACACGUGAGUAACCUGCCCUUGACUUUGGGAUAACUUCAGGAAACUGGGGCUAAUACCGGAUAGGAGCUCCUGCUGCAUGGUGGGGGUUGGAAAGUUUCGGCGGUUGGGGAUGGACUCGCGGCUUAUCAGCUUGUUGGUGGGGUAGUGGCUUACCAAGGCUUUGACGGGUAGCCGGCCUGAGAGGGUGACCGGCCACAUUGGGACUGCGAUACGGCCCAGACUCCUACGGGAGGCAGCAGUGGGGAAUAUUGCACAAUGGGCGGAAGCCUGAUGCAGCAACGCCGCGUGCGGGAUGACGGCCUUCGGGUUGUAAACCGCUUUCGCCUGUGACGAAGCGUGAGUGACGGUAAUGGGUAAAGAAGCACCGGCUAACUACGUG